GACGAACCGUGCGAACGUUGUUCGGAAUCACUGGGCUUAAAGGGCGCGUAGGCGGGUCAUCAAGUCCGUGGUGAAAGCCUCCCGCUUAACGGGAGAAGGGCCGCGGAUACUGGUGGUCUUGAGGGAGGUAGGGGCAUGUGGAACUUCCGGUGGAGCGGUGAAAUGCGUAGAUAUCGGAAGGAACGCCGGUGGCGAAAGCGAUCCGCUGGCCCUCUACUGACGCUGAGGCGCGAAAGCCAGGGGAGCAAACGGG
rnacentral:rRNA from 1 species